rnacentral:lncRNA from 1 species
CGCCAACCCAGUCCACGUUUACUUGUGCAUCGGACGCUACAGAGUGGUCUGUUAGGCCUUGUACAAUGAGAGGUGCUUAGAGGGAUGCUUAGAAAAAUAAACCGAAUUUUUCCGAAGCACCAGUGCCUAUUUCUACAGAAGAGACGCUUAGUUAAGCGUCUAUCCUAUACAAAUAAGCAUCAGUGUUUAAGAAAAGUCUGGUUUAUUUCUCUAAGCACCUCCCCUAAGCAUCCCUCAUUGUACAAGGCCUUAGGAAGCUAGGGAUCAGUAGUCUGAUCCCUAAUGGUUCCACUAUCUAAGGGGUAACACUGGUCCAACAUGAGACAUCAUAGACAAUACGACCAGAUCCAUUGGAGAACGAACAGGAGGAUAACGAGGCAAUAGCACUCCCAACAGUGCGACGUCUACUGGAGUUGUCUUCCAAUAUGCGGGUGCAAAUCAUACUUGUCCAUAGUAAGUAAACCAUGGUACCAGUAUGGCUCGGGAAGAGGCCAC